GUGGGGAAUUUUGGACAAUGGGGGCAACCCUGAUCCAGCAAUGCCGCGUGCAGGAAGAAGGCCUUCGGGUUGUAAACUGCUUUUGUACGGAACGAAACGGUCCUGGUUAAUACCUGGGGCUAAUGACGGUACCGUAAGAAUAAGCACCGGCUAACUACGUGCCAGCAGCCGCGGUAAUACGUAGGGUGCAAGCGUUAAUCGGAAUUACUGGGCGUAAAGCGUGCGCAGGCGGUUUUGUAAGACAGGCGUGAAAUCCCCGGGCUCAACCUGGGAAUGGCGCUUGUGACUGCAAGGCUGGAGUGCGGCAGAGGGGGAUGGAAUUCCGCGUGUAGCAGUGAAAUGCGUAGAUAUGCGGAGGAACACCGAUGGCGAAGGCAAUCCCCUGGGCCUGCACUGACGCUCAUGCACGAAAGCGUGGGGAGCAAACAGGAUUAGAUACCCGGGUAGUCC
rnacentral:rRNA from 1 species